UAAAACACCUACGUACAUUACGUCGUCAUUUUAGUGGAUGGGUGGACUUGGUACAUACAAGUUAAAAUUCCUUAUCCCUUCACGUUUACGUUGGAUGGCUGGGUGGGUGCUACAUAUAUAAGCUAGAGCUUUUUGACGAUGUAAUAUAUGGAUUGACAGACAGUUUGGCGAAAGCCGAUUUGGCGAAAAUAAAUUUUCGCCAGUGGUAAAAAAACUAUGAUGAAGGUCCCGGAUGGCGAAAUUUUUGUCACAUAUGGCGGAAAUGAAAAACUCGUAAAAGCACAUUUGGCGAAAUAUAAAUUUCGCAUGUAUUCAUGUCAAACGCCUUAAAAUGAACACAAUUGUAUAUAUAAAUUAUUAGAUAAUUCAAAUUCCAGAAAAUUUGGACUUACAGGGAGCGCUUCCGACAAGUUUGGAUAACCAAGUUACAAACUUUUCAUGGUUUAACAUACUCAUAAAACCUUCAUUUUCGCCAAAUGUGACAUUCUUUUCGCCAAAAGAUACUUUGAAACCGUUAUUCUAAAAAUGCCGAAAAGUGGAUGUUUUUUUUCGCCAAACGGGAUUUUUUUGGCGAAGUUUUUUUCGCCAAAAGGGUUUUCGCCAAACUGUCCGACUUCCAAUAUCUGCAUUCCAAAAGUGCCUGCGUCGUUUAGUCGUUAAUUCGUUGUGGCGAAAGAAAAUUGAUGAAGCUACAUAUUUUCAGCGAAUUGCUUCAAUUAGUUACAAAAUCCGUGUAAAUUUUGGUAGAGAAAUUAAAACAGGAUUUAUUCCGCCGCUUUAAUAUUCUUGCUUGACAAAGUGAUUAAAACUUAAACGAAUUACUUUUAAGAGUGUGCAGACAUGGUAGAUGGAUGGAUAAAGGCUCAAGGUUACCUUAUGAUGAAGGGCUGGAAAAUAAAGUCCCGUCAUGACUUCACUUCAGAAAUACAAAUAUACUAGUGUAUAAGCCCAUCUCCCGCGGGGCGAAAACUUAUUUAAUUUUCGUGAAAAUUAAGUGCGAUUGUUCAUAAUUCCAGCGAAUCUAUUUUUACUAUAUACAUAAUCAGCUAGAAAUGCCUCCUGACAUCGCCAUGACUUACUUUCUCCAUUUUUACUUCCGUUACGGGAAUUACUUUCACUUCCGUUGCAGACAAACAUUUCCAGUUUAUAAUAUAGAUUUGGUUUCUUCUUCGGAAUACAAGCUAUGUACAUUAACCCAAUGGUCAAAGUCUUGCAAUGGUUUUCGGACUGAGCGAUUUGUUACCGAUAGCUUUGGGCAUUCUGUUGGGAAAUCUGAUUCUUGACUAUUUAUUCGAUGUGGACAGAAACAAAGUGACAUCAACUCCAUCAUUUCUUCUCCAUUUUUAAUUUCCAACGAAAAAAUUUAUUUAGAUAGAUAGUUAGGGUCGAUCUUCUGUCGGACAAAAGUUCGUAUUCAUCAAGUUUGAAGUCGACAAAGGGCCAAGAUUGUGCCGUCUACUUGGAUUUCAAAAGAUUGGACGACUAAUGGCGUGUUAUAUGCCGGAAAAUACGAUUCAUACGUUGAGAACACAUAUGUAUAAGGAAUAAACCUAUCGACUCAUGUCGACAAACGGCCAGCCUAAAUUAUCAGCAGAAGAGCCUGAGGUGAAUAAAGAAAUAUUGUCCAGGAAUUCAUUUUAAUUUAGUCUUUCUCUAUACUCCGUAAGUACGAAUUCUGCAGAUUAAUUACGAUAAAUAUUUGUGUAUCCCAAUUUGCAAUUAUCUUUUAAUAAGUUAAGUAUUUGGAGAUAACAUUAUUGUAGAAAUACAGUAGAUGAAUUUGUAAUAAAUAAAUAAUAAUUGAACUAUGAGUAAUACGU